rnacentral:lncRNA from 1 species
AGUGAGGUUAGGGUUAGGGUGAGUGUGAGUGUGAGGGUGAGGAUGAGGGUGAAAGUGAGGGUGAAGGUGAGGGUGAGGACAAGGGUGAGAGUGAGGAUGUAGAUGAAAAUGAGAGUGAGGGUGAAGAUGAGAAUGAAAGUAAGAGAGUGAAUAUAAGUGGGAGUGUGAAGUUGAAUAUAAAUGUGAGUGUUUUUGAGAUCAUUUGAUAAUAUAAUGCAAGAAAGCUUUGAAAAUUUGACAAAAGCUAGUGAAGACUUCGUAACUGAGAAUUAUUUUAUAUCUAAGUCAAAUUACAUUAUGAAUAAAAUAAUGUAAUGAUUGAAAAAAUGUUAUAAAAUUAUUUUGUUUUGAUUGAUUUAGUUUCUUAUAACAUGGCUAAAAAUUCUGUUUACACGUUUAGAUAAAAAAAAUUUAAGAUAUACUAAGUCAUUUUAAAAUAUUUUAUUUAAUAAUUUAUCCAAGUUUGAUUUUGGUCUUUUAAUCGCAGGACACAUACAUUGAGUAAAAUUACUUAACAGUCCGAAUAUGUGCUAACAGCUCG